GGGCGGUUGAGAUCGGGCGACUGAAAAGCGCUAGGUCCCCGGUUCAACCCCGGGACUGCCCA
rnacentral:tRNA from 1 species